UACGAAGGGGGCUAGCGUUGCUCGGAAUGACUGGGCGUAAAGGGCGCGUAGGCGGAGUGCUUUGUCGGGCGUGAAAUUCCAGGGCUCAACCUUGGGGCUGCGUUCGAGACGGGCAUUCUAGAGUUCGGAAGAGGGUCGUGGAAUUCCCAGUGUAGAGGUGAAAUUCGUAGAUAUUGGGAAGAACACCGGUGGCGAAGGCGGCGACCUGGUCCGAGACUGACGCUGAGGCGCGAAAGCGUGGGGAGCGAACAGG
rnacentral:rRNA from 1 species